CCAGUUGACCGGGUGGCCGCUCCCCUUCGUGGGAGAGGAAAGUCCGGGCUCCAUUGAAACACGGUGCCGGGUAACGCCCGGCGAGGGCGACCUCAGGGAAAGUGCCACAGAAAGCAAACCGCCCCGGCUUGCCGGGGUAAGGGUGAAAGGGUGCGGUAAGAGCGCACCGGGCCGCUGGCAACAGGGGCCGCACGGUAAACCCCACCGGGAGCAAGACCAAAUAGGGACGACGCGGGGCUUGCCCCAGCCUGUUUCAAGGCCAGGUCGUCCGGGUUGGUUGCACGAGGCGUCCGGCAACGGACGUCACAGAUGAAUGGCCAUCGCGCCGAGGGGUUCGCAUCCUUCGGCCCUACAGAACCCGGCUUACAGGUCAACUGGCGUU
rnacentral:RNase_P_RNA from 1 species